UGGGGUGUAGCUCAGUGGGAGAGUGUUUACUUGACAUACAUGAGGCCUUGGGUUCCAACCCCAAGACUCUUG
rnacentral:tRNA from 1 species